rnacentral:rRNA from 1 species
AGAGUUUGAUCAUGGCUCAGAAUGAACGUUGGCGGCGUGGAUUAGGCAUGCAAGUCGAGCGAUCAUCAGCAAUGGUGGGAGCGGCGAACGGCGUAGGAAUUCAUAGGAACGUACCCUCGGGUCGGGGAUAGCUACGGGAAACUGUAGGUAAUACCCGAUGAUCUCUGCGGAGCAAAGGUGUGAUUCCGCCCGAGGAGCGGCUUAUGCGAUAUUAGCUAGUUGGUGAGGUAAUGGCUCACCAAGGCGAAGAUGUCUAGGGGGUGUGAGAGCAUGGCCCCCACGACCGGAACUGAGACACUGUCCGGACACCUACGGGUGGCUGCAGUCGAGAAUCUUCCGCAAUGGACGAAAGUCUGACGGAGCGACGCCGCGUGCGAGAUGAAGGCCCUUGGGUUGUAAACCGCUGUCAGAGGGGAUGAAAUCUUCGGAGGUACUCCUCCGAAGUUGACAGAGCCUCAAAGGAAGCACGGGCUAAGUACGUGCCAGCAGCCGCGGUAACACGUACUGUGCGAACGUUAUUCGGAAUCACUGGGCUUAAAGGGUGCGUAGGCGGCGAUUCAAGUCAGAUGUGAAAUGCCUGAGCUCAACUGAGGCAUUGCGUUUGAAACUGAUUCGCUUGAGUAUUUCAGGGGUGUGCGGAACUGCCAGUGGAGCGGUGAAAUGUGUUGAUAUUGGCAGGAACACCGGAGGCGAAAGCGGCACACUGGGGAAUAACUGACGCUGAGGCACGAAAGCCAGGGGAGCGAACGGGAUUAGAUACCCCGGUAGUCCUGGCUGUAAACGAUGAGCACCUGGGCGGGAGGGGGUUUCCCCUUUCUGCCGUAGCGAAAGCGUUAAGUGUCCGCUGGAGAUGA